rnacentral:lncRNA from 1 species
CUUUGGGAGAGGAGACUUCAGCCCCUUACACAACAGUGAAGAUAAGCAGCUAUCUGCUGGUCCCCAUGCAGAGACACGUGAUGUAGAUAAGCAGCUAUCUGCUGGUCCCCAUGCAGAGACACGUGAUGUAGAUAAGCAGCUAUCUGCUGGUCCCCAUGCAGAGACAUGUGAUGUAGAUAAGCAGCUAUCUGCUGGUCCCCAUGCAGAGACACGUGAUGUAGAUAAGCAGCUAUCUGCUGGUCCCCAUGCAGAGACACGUGAUGUAGAUAAGCAGCUAUCUGCUGGUCCCCAUGCAGAGACACGUGAUGUAGAUAAGCAGCUAUCUGCUGGUCCCCAUGCAGAGACAUGUGAUGUGUGGGAUAUUUGUGUGGCUUUGUAAGGCUGGCAGAUGCAGUGUGGACUGGGGAGGAGGGUCAAAGGUUACAUACUGGCAGAGGCCAGAGGAGUUUUUCAAAAAAUGACCACAAGUUAUCAUCACUGUUGAACCCCCCUCUCUAAAGUCACAUCCUUUACACAUAUCAAUAUAUCCUAACUUUAACACAGUAUCUAUUAUCUCAUUUGGCCUCUAAUAAUUUAGUACAAUAAGGUUGUUGACUGUAAAGUAAGUUUAAGUAGGUUAAGUCAGUGCCAGACCAUCCCAGUUCCCACAGCAUGACAACCACUUCCUCAGCACAGCAGUCCUCCAUGUUGGAGCCACAACAGAUAAAGAGCUCAGAACGGCCCUUACCCUGUCAUUCCUACACUAAUAGCUCUAUCAGAUGGUCCCUGUUGGUCUAAUAAGAUGUGUUGCCAUGGCUCUGUCUCUGCAGUGAUGGGUCAUCUGUUGCCGUGGGCGUCCCGUGGUGGAGACACAAGCAGACAGGCACUCCCCUACCCACCGCCCCUCACUCACGGCCCGCUAGUCUGACGCACGCCACGGGAGAUGCCAUUUGAUUCCCAUUAACCACUGGGCCAAAAGACAGAGAGAGGGAAGGGGAGGGGAGGGGGAGAGAGGCUAAAGUGAGAGAAAGAGAGGGAGAUGAAGUGAGGAAAAGAGAGAGAGGAGGAGAGACGAGGGAGGGAGGGAGAAAAUGAGAGGUAAAUUAAAACUGAAAGAGAGAGGGGUGGGGAUGAAGAGAGGGAGAUAAGGAGUGAGAGCAUGUUUCCUUCCUCCCAGACUGCACUUCACUACCCCAAGUGUAAAUGCCCGUUGAGAGGCGGCCAGACAACGCCUGUUCACACGGAGUGAAGGACCUGUUGAGAGGCAGCCAGACAUCUCCUGUUCACACGGAGUGAAGGACCUGUUAAGAGACAGCCAGACAUCUCCUGUUCACACGGAGUGAAGGACCUGUUGAGAGGCGGCCAG